rnacentral:rRNA from 1 species
UGAGGAAUAUUGGGUCAAUGGGCGAGAGCCUGAACCAGCCAAGUAGCGUGCAGGAUGACGGCCCUAUGGGUUGUAAACUGCUUUUGUGCGGGGAUAAAGUGUGGGACGCGUCCCAUAUUGCAGGUACCGCAUGAAUAAGGACCGGCUAAUUCCGUGCCAGCAGCCGCGGUAAUACGGAAGGUCCGGGCGUUAUCCGGAUUUAUUGGGUUUAAAGGGAGCGUAGGCCGGAGAUUAAGCGUGUUGUGAAAUGCUGCGGCUCAACCGUGGCACUGCAGCGCGAACUGGUUUUCUUGAGUGCGCGCGACGCAGGCGGAAUUCGUGGUGUAGCGGUGAAAU